AGGCAGGUGGAUCACUGUGAGUUCCGGGCCAACCAGGACGACAUGGUAAGACCCUGUCUAAAGAACUGUUGAAGGCUGGAGAGAUGGUCAGUAGUUAAGAGCACUGGCUGCUCUUCCACAAGACCUGGAUUCAGUUCCUAGCAACCAUCUGUAACAUCUGUAACUAUACUCCCAGGGGACCCGAUGCCUUCUUUUGACGUCUAUGGGUACUGCAUCACAUGGUGCCCAAGCAUGCAUGCAGGAAGAAAACGCAUACAGAUUUAAGACUGUGAGAAUAAGACUUAUUUCAUCUUCAUGCUGUCUAGAGGAUCAGAAAAGGGCAGAGCGACCUCUGCUCGUGCUGGUUUUAAUAGAAUUCUGAUCUGAUUCUUUGUGAAUACUUCAGCAGCCCCGUUUGAGUAAACAAAUCCCCAAGUAUCCAGCUGCAGCCUCCCUGAGCACCUGCACCUCUCUCUACUUGGAGGACUCCAUAGUCUGUUGCCAUGGAGACAGUAGUCAAGUCACACUGCCACAAAGGAUCUCUCCUGGGUCCCAAGGAACAAAUUGUUUUCUUCUGUUUGGUUAGGUAUCCAUGGAAAUGCGCACCUCCUGGACAAUCUGUUUCCAAGGCAGACUUUGGUGAAUAGAUGGAAGUUGAAAGCAAGUAUCUCUCUGCUCUUUGAGAGACAAGAUGCUCUUGUCAGGUGUUCUAGCUUGGGUCACAUUGAUGAAAAUCCAAUCAGGGUACAGACCUUCCUGCUUGCUUCCUAAACCCAGGAAUCUUUUACAUCUCUGCGAAGGAAACAGAUUCCCCGAAGUAAACGUCACAACUAGAAACAAAGUCAAGGUGGACCAACCGAGGCCUCAGACAUUCGGGGACACAGGACGACGAGCAGGUGGGUAGAGAACCGACUGUGGGAGCAAGCAGCUACCAGCUUCUGUACCUCCUGUAGAGAGAGGAGGCCACAUGGCAACAAGUAUUUCUAUUGGAGGUUUCACAAGGAAGAGCCAACAGCCGGCCGAACGGCUUACAUGGGCUUGUCACGCUGUCUGGAGGGAACAGGUCCAGGGUGAUCGUCACGUGCUGAUAUUCCUACUGUUGGACUUGCCGCCUCUUGUCAGUGGCUUGGAAUAAUGCCACCCCUCCCUGACCCAGUUCGAGAGGGACAAUGUUACGAAGCUAGCGUGAGAAUUAUGCACAUGAUGCAGGAGAGGCUCUGGGGCGAAGAGGGAGAAUAUAUUCUGACAAGGCAGGUGGGAAUUAAGGCCAUAUCUUUCUCCAGAAAGUCACCUGACUCCAGAGGUGUAGACGCUCUACUGAGGACAUCUGGGAGCUCUACUUUACCCAGUGGGGCAGCCAGUAAUACUUAAAAUACGGAGGGACUAACCUCAUUUUAAUGUAAGUUUGAAAACUAUUAAUUUCUAUCACCUGGAAACUAAGCAUGUUUAGGAGAACCCGUGUAUGCAUAUUUACGUUUUGGCUUUAAAUUUUAUGCCAUCUAAGUACAGAUAAAGCAUUUCCAGUAAAAUUUUAGUACCAUUCUUGAGAUAUGCACACUAGAUCUUAAAGACUUUCUUUCUUUAUUUCUCUCUUUCUUAAUUUCUUUCUUUCUUUCUUUCUUUCUUUCUUUCUUUCCUUCUUUCCUUCUUUCCUUCUUUCCUUCUUUCCUUCUUUCCUUUUUGUUUUUGUUUAUUUGUUUUGUUUUGCUCAGGGAGUAUACAAUAUCUCCAUGAAAUGGUACUUCUAAAUCAAUCUUACUUUUUUCUCUUUUUAAAACUAUGAUGGCUACUUGGGAAUCUUAAGUUACAUGGGAUUUGCGUUGUACCCCUCUCCUUUUUAGAGAGAGUCUCCUCCGAUAGUGUAGGCUGGUCUAGAACUGUGUAGCUCAGAAUGCCGUGAAAUUGUGGCAACUCUCCUGCCUCAGUGCAGUGGGAAUAUAACCACGAACCGCCACAGCUGGGUGGGACUGUGUUUCUGUGAGACAGCGCAACUGUAGGAACAGGAAGGCACUGGUUUGUAAAGAAAACACACACAGGCUAUUGGAAGUAGCAAAGCAGAGUUGUGGUGUUGGGGAUGACCAGCAUGGGGUAAAUGUGUUUACCAGACAGCAGCCGAUGUGUUCUAUAAAGACUGAAUAGUGUUUUCAAAAACAGAGGGCAAAUACAUGUGUAAACUCUCCAAAAGACCAAAUUUGAUCUCUUAAAACAUGGCCUGAUCUUUUUUUUUUUUUUCUUUUUCUUUUUUUCGGAGCUGGGGAUCGAACCCAGGACCUUGCGCUUUCUAGGCAAGCGCUCUACCACUGAGCUAAAUCCCCAACCCCAACAUGGCCUGAUCUUAAUCCAUCCCAUGGUGGAGGAGGAAGGGGAACCUGCUUAGCUCUCAGCUUCAUCUGAGUCGCGCAUGAGAUUCCACCCCAGCCAGGCAGCUCCUGGCGGUCGUUAGCUGCUGGGAGAGGAAGAGGGUAGCCCUGGCUAAGUUGGCUGCAUCGGGGCAGGGGAAGGCCAUGCGUUGAAGAAUAUUGGGGCAAAACAAAUUGGUCUCGGUGGCUUUAAAAAGCUCCAAGUUGUGUGGGAUGGAAGGGGGAUGGAUUUGGGAAGAGUUGGGGAAGGAAAGAUGAACAGAAUCAAAAUGUGUUGAACAAAAUUCUCAAACAACACACGCAUGCAUGCACACACACACACAUACACAUGCAUGCACCCUCACGCACACGCAUGCAUGCAUGCACCCUCACACACAUGCACACAUGCAUGUACACAUACACUCACACUCAUGCAUAACCCUCAUACACACGCAUACACACACGUGCACACAUGCAUGCAUGCACCCUCACACACACGCACACACAUGCAUGCACACAUACACUCACACAUACACACUCAUGCAUGCACCCUCUCACACACUCGAGUGCACACACACACACACACACACACACAGAUAUUUUAAAUGUGUCUAGAGAGCCAGGCAUGGUAGCCACACUGUUAAUUCUAGCACACAGCAGGCAGAGGCUGGCAGAUCUCUGAGUUCCAGGUCCGGUAGGGCUGCACAGUGAGUGACACGGUGACCUCUUUUUCAGGUGAUUGAACUUGAUUAUAUUCCCAGUGGCUUGGGAAAAGUGGACAGGAGGCAAGCAGAGAGGAAACAAGAUGUGUCUGUGGCAAACUACUGAACAAAAUCAGCUUCAAGAGAGAGAGGUUUCUUUUGGCUCCGUUUUAGACUUUCUGCGCCUGGUUGCCCGGAUUCGAGGGAACCGAAAUUGGCAAAACCACAGAGGGCGUAAGUUGCGAUGGUCUCCGAGCGAAUCUGGAAGCAAGAUAAAACAGCGAUCUGUACACGAUCUGAUGCACCUCCAGAAAUCUUCGCUGGCUACAGAAUUAAUGCCGAUAAACAGGCACACAGUCGACUAUCAGAUAACCGUCGGGGACCCCCUUGUGUGCUUAGACAUUGAGGGACUGCGGAAAGAGGACUGUAUAUUUAAGGAACAAUUUCCAAUGCUCUAGGAGUUAGUGACCUUGACAUCUAAAGAGGCUACCUCCUGCCCACACAUCACUUCUAAUAUUGCAUGUGACUUGAUCACCUGCCAUCUUAUACCAAGCACAGUACUAUUUGCUGGAGAUAAGAAGUUGGCCCCAGCAAAGGCUUACAUUAUGCGUGUCUGACAAAGGACUUAGAAUAUAUAAAGAGCUGCUAUAAUUCAACAAUUAGACUACUGCCCGGGUUUUCAGAUACAUUGCUGCAAAAGGCAAACAAGCGGGCAAUAAACGUGUGCUCAACAUCUGUCACCAGGCAAGUGCCAACCACUAAGCCAAAAGAAAGCUUUCUUAAGUUGGUUUACUUUAGGUAUUUUUGUCAGUGAACGAAAGAACUAAAAUAAAGAAGGAAGGAACUGUGUACUAUAUAUACUAAGUAUGCGCAGGAUUUAGAGCAUGUGGGAUGCGUGUGCAUUGCCAUUGUGCUUGAUACUCACUUCUGGUGAACUGGCAGAGUCAUCACGCUGGCCUGAAAGCGGCGGUGGAGAACCCACCCUCCACAGCAGUUCCCGGGAACCUUUGAUUCAGCUCACAGAUUUUGUAACAAUGAUGAAAACUGAUUGAUACAUCUACAAUGGGGAGGGGGCUCAUUAGCUGCCUAUAGGUCUUCGUGUGGGGGGCAUGUGGGGGAGGGCAGAGGACAUAGUCUUUAAAGGGCCAUGAGGGAAGUUGGUUAUCUCAGUAAACAGGAAGCUCUGGGCGGUCACAGGAGCUUCCUUACAGUCGGCCAUCCUGCCUGCCCGCCUUUGUUCUUCAGCUGGGACAAUGCAUGGGAAUGUGGGGGGUGCCCGUUUGGAAAUAAGUAGAAAAGGAAGCUGGAACAACGCCACUUUCUUUUGCCCCCAAUGUAAACGAUCGCCGGCUGGGUGGAACAAGACGGGCUGAGCUAGGAAGAUAACAGUCUCCUGUGUGCAAGCCAAGAUGCUCGGAAAUUUGGCGUAGCAACUGUGCCUCGUUAAAUUUCGAUGAAGAGGCUCAGAGUGACAUGCAGUCCGUUUCUUAGAACUCAUGAUGCUAGGGGAGGCCUUCGAGAUCAGCUGUUGGCUCCUAGAAGGUAAGACCUGUCAUAUCUGGUCCCUGAAUAUCCUCCCAAGACCUCUGUACUGAGGUGGGAGGGGACAGACUUCAGGAGGUGUGAAGUCUAAUCUUUUCAACUUGACACACUCUUGCCUGGGAAGACAGGCCCUCGACUGAAGAAUUGCCUACAGCAGUUGACCCGCAGCAGGUUUGUGGGGUAUUUUCUCCAUCGCUUAUCGAUGUAGGAAGGUUCAGCCCACUCUGGGUGGUUCCAUUCCUAUGCAGGUGGGCCUGGGCUGUGUAAACAAUGGUAGCUGAAUGUGAGCCUGUGUACAAGCUGGCAAACAGUGUUCCUCCUUGGUCUCUGUCUCCAUGUUCCCUCCCUUGGCUUCUCUCAGCAAUGAACUUUCCUGUAAGUAGAAACUGGAAUAAACCUUUUCUUUUACCAGUUGCUUUUGGUCAUGGUGUUUAAUUACAGCAACAGGAAAGCAAACUAGGACAGGAAGUCAAGCCCAGGAAAAGAAUUUAGGACCACAUUCUUGAAGGGGACAUUGGGAUGCUGUUCCCUCCUCCUCCUUCCCUCUACUCCUCAGCUACUCUGUGGUGAAUAGUCUUACUCUGUUAUUUGGGUCCACUUUGAUGAACUGCUUUGUACAGAAAGCAACAAGGCCAGUGGGUCAUGAGCCAAGAUGAACCUUCCUCAUCUUAAAUUGCUUACCUUGGGUGACUAGCACAGGGCCUCAGGCACAGAGCUAUCUGAUAAAUCUUUGUGCACUGAUGUCCCAGCUCAUGCAACCCUAGGUCUGUGUCUACUUCAGUCUUUAAGUUUCACCCACUCUUUCCCCCUUUCUCUCUUCCUCCACACAAAUAUCACACGGUCAAGAGAACAUGACUGAAGAUUAUGCUGUGCUCGUCAUGAGCUCUAUACGAGCAAGGGCUUGGAUUGUUCUGUCCUACCAUCAUUCAAGCUCUAGACAGACAGCUGAACAAGUCACAGUGUAUCUAUGUGAUAAGAAUUACACUUACUGACAUAUAUUACUGCACACCAAGUCACAGUGUAUCUAUGUGGUAAGAAUUAUGCACACUGACAUAUUACUGCACACCAAGUCACAGUGUAUCUAUGUACUAAGAAUUACACUUACUGACAUAUACUGCUGCACACCAAGUCACAGUGUAUCUGUGUGAUAAGAAUUACACUUACUGACAUGUAUUACUGCAUACCAAGUCACAGUGUAUCUAUGUGAUAAGAAUUACACUUACUGACAUAUAUUGCUAUACACCAAGUCAGUGUAUCUAUGUGAUAAGAAUUAUAUAACAUAUAGAAUAUAGACAUGAAGAACUAUACGUACUGACAUAUAUUGCUGCACACCAUUCACAAAUUUGGGUCCAGCCGCUUUCCUCAAAUUGAUGAAUUUUGAGAGGUGUUCAUAAGCCACAAAUUCAUUGAAGAACGUCUUGUAGCCUAUGAGUUUGGCGACCAUAAAGCUGUCUUGCCAGUCGACUCCCAUCAUGAAGGAGAAAGGCAUGAAGAUGUAAGAACAAAUGAGCUGCAAGGGACAGAGGUGGUGACACUCAUUUAAUAGCGAUUGCCUCGAAUUCUGCCACAUCCCCUCAGUGACAGGGUUGGUCCUGCUCUUCUGGGCACAAGGAACCCAUCUUCAGUUGACCAUCUUUAUGUAUCAGGGAUGUAUGGUUGGUCCUCAACAAAUUGGUCUUAAGGCUUGAUUCUCAUGUGGUAAUGUCAACAGGUACUCGAGCCUUAAAAUCAAUGAGUGUCUUUCCUGUGGUAUCGCAUUAGUUCUCUGUGGAAUGGACUAAUUUGAGUGUUUAAACAAGGUCAGUGGCAUGGUCCCCCCACCUCCAUUCAUUUUGAAUGUGCCCUUUUCUCUUGUCUGUGGUGCACAGGACUGCAUGUGAGCCUCAUCAUGUAUAAUCCCCUGACUGGAUUUUAAGUCUGCAGAGUGGCAAGUUAAAUAAAAACCUUUUAUCUUUAUAAGGCUUCCUGACCCAGUGUUCUGUCAUAGCACAGACUAAAAUAGGAAUUGGGUUGGAAGUAGCUUAUAUUUUUGGGAAGAGGUCAGGAAAGAAUGAUUGCUUUGGGGGAACGGUGGGGCAGCAAUUUAGAUGCCUCUAUAGUGUGUGAGAGAGCACAACACAGCUGACUAGGAAAGGCUCACUCUGUAGCUCACACUGGCAACCCUAUCUCGGCCUCCUAAGUGAUGGGAUUAAAAGGUGAGUCACAUACCUGGCUUCUAAACGUGUUUUCAAAUGAAGGUAGUUCAGAAACAAAACAAGGUAGAGCCAUUACCUCGAAACUCAGCUGUGGGUAGUCGAACAUGCUUCCAAACCAAGACAGAGCGGAGUUCACAAAGGAAAGCAAGGCCAGGAAGGCGAUCAGAUUUGCAGCGAUGUUUGCCACCAGGGGGAUGGACGAAGAUGCACCCUGCGUGGCCGCCUCCAGGAGAUUCCGGGAAUCACUACAUCAAAAAAAAAUGGGAAUUCUACAAUUACCAAGGAGUAUCUGUGGUGGUUUGCAUGUGCUUGGCCCAGGGAGUGGCAUUAUUUGGGGGUGUGGCCUUGGAGUGGGUGUGGCCUUGUUGGAGUGGGUGUGUCGCUAUGGGUGUGGACUCUAAUACCCUAGCCCUAGCUGCAUGGAUGUCAGUCUUCCACUAGCAGCCUUCAGAUGAGGAUGUAGAACUCUCAGCUCCUCCUGCACCAUGCCUGCCUGGAUGCUGCCAUGCUCCUGCCUUGAUGAUAAUGGACUGAACCUCUGAACCUGUAAGCCAGCCCCAUUAAAUGUUGUCCUUAUAAGAGUUGCCUUGAUCAUGGUGUCUGCUCACAGCAGUCAAAACCCUAACUAAGACAGUAUCUCUGGAACUACAGCAUAGGAGUGACCUAAUCAUAGUGGCCCGGUAAGGGGUGGACCCUUAGCCACAUCCCUUGGUCAGAGUACGCAGUCUCUUACAGCCUCAAAAUUUGAUGGGCUUAUGAUCGUGGAUGCUUGGCUGUGGGGAUGUGGAGCCCACUGCUGUGGUACCUUUCUCUUGGUGGAGGCUGAAUCCUGGGCUUUGGAUGCUAAGCAUCCACUCCCACCUCUACUCCAUUGGGUACAUUUAUAAUAAUAAAAAAAUAAUCCCUAAGAAGCAACAAAACCAUAUUACGUUUAACUACUAUUUCAAAAAUAGUUACCUGCCAGGGACUGUUGAUAAAAUCUCCAGGGACUACCAACUAGCAGUUGAAAGGAAACCCACAUCACCACUGCUUCACUAAAGACUGAAUCCCACGGUAUGCUCCUCUCUGGUCCCUCACGAACCCCUCUCAUCUGAGAGGUCUAUCCCUAAAAUCUAUCUAAGCCCCCAAACCCCAUUUCUUUACUAUUUCCUACACAGCUGCAUCCUUACAUAACACACCUGACCUAUACACACCAAGCAAAUCUUCAUGGUCCCUGACUCUGUAGGUAGAACCUUCAGGAUGCUACCUAGCCCCCCAUCCCAAUUACCCAGACCAAAAGUGUUUCCUAGUUUGGUGUUUGGAAUAGUCGCAGAAAUACGUAACAAGAAGUCCUGCGGGAGGAGGGGUAAGGAUUAGAAUUCAGUGAUGAUUAACUAAUAUUUCAUAUGCACCUAAUACGCAAAACCUGAGAUAUAUUUUUUUUUCUCUUUUUUUUUCGGAGCUGGGGACCGAACCCAGGGCCUUGCACGUGCUAGGCAAGCGCUCUACCACUGAGCUAAAUCCCCAACCCCCUGAGAUAUAUUUUUUAUGCAACAUUUUAAAUGUUUGUUGAUUUGCUAUUUCCGUGUGUGUGUGUGUGAGCAUGAUGUAUGUGGUGAGGGUGAAUGGGCCGAGGGCACGGGACAACUUCAUGGAGCCACUUCUCUUCUGCACCUUUAAGUGACUCCUGGGCUCAGACAUGGGUCUCUCACCUUGUACGGUGAAUGACUUUACCUGCAGAGCCCUCCUGCUGCCCUAGACGACUUUUUAAUAAUCUGUGUAUAGAACAAAGUUGAGCGGCCUGGGUUUUCCCGCUUGUGGCAUCGACAUGGAAGUGAAAGACAUUUCGGGUUUCAGAACGGUUUUGAUUUUAGGUUUUGGGUUUCAGAUGCCCGCCUUUCACCUCGUCCCUUCCACAAGCUGUCUUCACAUUCCGCUCCCAGUCAUGAGUAUUUCCACAUGAAUGAGGCCGCACAUUCGUUAAAUUGUGUGACAUAAUUCAUAUCGUACGGGUCUCACUCCUGAAGUCCCUCUGAGGUUUUUAUUUCUUUUUCACAGAGUGGAAGAAAACGAAGCUGCCUUUUUAAUCCCACGAGGGAACCUGGGAACAUCCAUUCUGAAACUUUCCGAUAGUCUUAAAGCUGGGCUCAGCGAACAGUGCGUUUGUUUAUCAAGAAGCACUUCAUAAGAGGCCAAAAGAGUUUGGCCACAGCCAGGGCUGCAGGCGCCGACAUGACAGAAGCGGUGAGCAAGUGUGUAGAUGACACCUGCAGCAGUGAAAAAGGAAGGGGCUGAUCCAGUGCCAGAGGCUUGGAAGACCAUUCCAGGCGCCCAGCACGCCCCGUGUGCCCAGUCAGAGGACAAGGCAGGAAUUCAAGACACCUGACCACCCCCUUGGGAGAAGCAUGGAUCCUAAAUCUAUGAUUAUCUAGGAUGAGAAUUAAUCCUGCAUUGUAAGAACUUUCAAAGACUUCUCAACCCCUCUGUUGUCUCUCCGAUCAUCCGGCUGAUAUUGUCCCUGCAAUCCAUAAUUGUCACAUCCUCCGUGCAGAUGGGGUACGAGGUGGAAGGAGCACGGCCGAAGCAGAGACGGAUGGUCCCCACUCUUCCCACCCAGGAACCCUUCCUGUCUUUACACAACAUUAACCAACCCAUUGUCCCUUUAGCAUGUAAACUAUUUCUAUCCACCAUUUCUUACCCACCCUCGUAGUUGGAUUAUUCUGGAUUUUUCCCACUACGGUGAUGGCUAAUCUUGGUCGUCAACUUGACUGUUAUCUAGGAUCAAUUAAAACCCAAGCCCAGGGCGCUCCUGGGUGGGACUUUUUUGAUUAGAUUGUUUGAAAGAGAAA